rnacentral:rRNA from 1 species
GACGAACGCUGGCGGCGUGCUUAACACAUGCAAGUCGAACGGAAAGGCCUGCUUUCCCUUGUGGAUUGCGGGUACUCGAGUGGCGAACGGGUGAGUAACACGUGAGUGAUCUGCCCCCAACUUGGGUAUAAGCCUGGGAAACUGGGUCUAAUUCCCGAUAGGACUGCAGGGUGGUGCCUGUGGUGGAAAACGAUUUUCUAGUGGUUGGGGAUGAGCUCGCGGCCUAUCAGCUUGUUGGUGGGGUAAUGGCCUACCAAGGCGGCGACGGGUAGCCGGCCUGGGAGGGUGGACGGCCACAUUGGGACUGAGAUACGGCCCAGACUCCUACGGGAGGCAGCAGUGGGGAAUAUUACACAAUGGGCGGAAGCCUGAUGCAGCGACGCCGCGUGGGGGAUGACGGCCUUCGGGUUGUAAACUCCUUGCGACCGCGAGGAAGCCACCUGGUUGGAAGGGUGGUGACGGUAGUGGUAGAAGAAGCACCGGCUAACUACGUG